rnacentral:rRNA from 1 species
UACGAAGGGGGCGAGCGUUGUUCGGAUUUACUGGGCGUAAAGGGCGCGCAGGCGGCUCAUUUUGUCAGGCGUGAAAGCCCCGGGCUUAACCUGGGAACUGCGUUUGAUACGGAUGGGCUAGAGUUCGGGAGAGGAGAGUGGAAUUCCCAGUGUAGAGGUGAAAUUCGUAGAUAUUGGGAAGAACACCGGUGGCGAAGGCGGCUCUCUGGACCGAGACUGACGCUGAGGCGGCGAAAAGCGUGGGGGAGCGAACAGG